rnacentral:rRNA from 1 species
CGGCGUGCCUAAUACAUGCAAGUCGAACGGUCUUUCUAUGGAAGCUUGCUUCCACUGAGAAGAUAGUGGCGAACGGGUGAGUAACACGUGGGUAACCUGCCCAUAAGAGGGGGAUAACAUCCGGAAACGGGUGCUAAUACCGCAUAGUUUUCUUGAUCGCAUGAUCGGGAAAGGAAAGACGGCCUUUGUGCUGUCGCCUAUGGAUGGACCCGCGGCGUAUUAGUUAGUUGGUGAGGUAACGGCUCACCAAGACGAUGAUACGUAGCCGACCUGAGAGGGUGAUCGGCCACAUUGGGACUGAGACACGGCCCAAACUCCUACGGGAGGCAGCAAUAGGGAAUCUUCCGCAAUGGACGAAAGUCUGACGGAGCAACGCCGCGUGAGUGAAGAAAGGUUUUCGGAUCGUAAAACUCUGUUGUCAGAGAAGAACAAGUUGGAGAGUAACUGCUCCAGCCUUGACGGUAUCUGACCAGAAAGCCACGGCUAACUACGUGCCAGCCGCAGC